rnacentral:rRNA from 1 species
UACGAAGGGUGCAAGCGUUAAUCGGAAUUACUGGGCGUAAAGCGUGCGUAGGCGGUUUGUUAAGUCUGCUGUGAAAUCCCCGGGCUCAACCUGGGAAUGGCAGUGGAUACUGGCAAGCUAGAGUGUGUCAGAGGAUGGUGGAAUUCCCGGUGUAGCGGUGAAAUGCGUAGAGAUCGGGAGGAACAUCAGUGGCGAAGGCGGCCAUCUGGGACAACACUGACGCUGAGGCACGAAAGCGUGGGGAGCAAACAGGAUUAGAAACCCCAGUAGUCC